AGGUCAUUUUGAGGGCAAUUUCUUAGUAACCCUUUAUAGCGUUCCCAUGCCUGAUAAAGUGACUCACCCGCGUUUUGCUCAAAGUUGGUGAUUGCCUUCUUGAUUUU